rnacentral:rRNA from 1 species
GCUAGCGUUGCUCGGAAUCACUGGGCGUAAAGCGCUCGUAGGCGGCUUUUUAAGUCAGGGGUGAAAUCCUGGAGCUCAACUCCAGAACUGCCUUUGAUACUGAGAAGCUUGAGUCCGGGAGAGGUGAGUGGAACUGCGAGUGUAGAGGUGAAAUUCGUAGAUAUUCGCAAGAACACCAGUGGCGAAGGCGGCUCACUGGCCCGGUACUGACGCUGAGGUGCGAAAGCGUGGGGAGUAAGCAGG